GAGAAGGCGCAGUUACUGAUUCGUUCCCAAUAUAUAGACUGGGUGUCCCAGGAAUCCUCAUCACACAGCUCCUGCUGAAUUCUCACAGGUCCCUGAGCUGAUUCUAUUCCCACAAACAUGAAAGUCCUGGCUUUGGUUGUUCUGGUCAUUGCUAUCAGUGGCAUGGAAGCGGGAGUCGUGAAGAGAGAAGUGCCCAAUCUGGAUGAAUUCACCAAGAUUUUCUCAUCCUGGGCCGAUACUUUGAAAACCCAGACACAGGAAUGGAUCGCCAAAAUCCAGAAUGGAGAGGUGAAGGCCCAGACAGAAGAAAUCUUUGCACAAGUCAAGACUCAAAUGGAACCACUCCAGGGCCAUUUCCAAGAAUUAUUCUCCCAGUUCACAGACAAGAAGGCAUAAAUGAGUCGUUCCUGGAAACCCCGCCUCAAAUCACACAGACCCCGCCUCCUUCCUGAUUUCAUCAAUAAAUAAACCUCUGUCUUUCCCAA